UAAUACGUAGGGUGCGAGCGUUAAUCGGAAUUACUGGGCGUAAAGCGUGCGCAGGCGGCUCAUUAAGACAGGCGUGAAAUCCCCGGGCUUAACCUGGGAACUGCGCUUGUGACUGGUGGGCUAGAGUGUGUCAGAGGGAGGUGGAAUUCCACGUGUAGCAGUGAAAUGCGUAGGGAUCGGGAGGAACACCGGUGGCGAAGGCGGCCCCCUGGUUUCAGACUGACGCUGAGGCGCGAAGGCGUGGGGAGCAAACAGGAUUAGAUACCCUGGUAGUCCCACGCGGUAAACGAUGUCGACUAGCCGUGCCUUUCGGUUGUGAGGGGUGUGGUGCAGCUAACGCGGUAAGUCGACCGCCUGGGGAGUACGGCCGCAAGGUUA
rnacentral:rRNA from 1 species